rnacentral:tRNA from 1 species
UAAUAUGUAUUAUAAUAAAUAUAUUUAUUUUCCAAAUAAAAGAUCCUAUCUUUAGGUGUAUUUG